AGGUCUCCCUAUUGGUGACACAGAGAACCCUGCAUCCUACCUGCAGGCCCAAGUAGACAGAUGGCGCAUGGAGACGGAUGAGGAUCCUGAGAUCCAUCCGGUGUUCUCUGUCAUGUUUAGAAACUCUGUGAUAGAGACACUACCCAGCCAAAUCAAAGCCAAGCUAGAGGAUGUGGUUGGACUGUCUACAUCAGGAUCUCAUAGAGAUUUUAAUGACCAUUUAGUUCAUGCAGUGGAUGAAUAUCGUCAGAAUAAACAAAGAAUACAGGAACAAAGCAAGGAGGUUCAGAGGAAGCUAUAUCAGCUUCAGCUGGAAGAUCUCACAAGGAAGGAAAGAGAUAAGAAGAGACAGGCAGGUGUUUUAGAACCAGCUGCUGUAAUAUCGCAAGCCGCCCAGCAGGGCGCACUUCAAAACCAAUAUCCAAGAUUGGCAUUUUCUCUCCCAGUACAACAGCCUCAGAGCCAACUGUCACCUACUCCACCUGUUACACAUGUACACAUCCAUAAUUAUGGGAACCUCACAAAUAAAAAUAGAAUCAGGGGCCCCAAGGACAGUUUAGAAACAAUCAACAACCAGGAUCCCAAGGACAACGCAGAGGUCCUUUAAUAUGUUAUGGGUGCAACCAGGAAGGACAUUCUAAGAAAGAUUGUUUAACUAACCCUUUUCCACCACAGCAAGGACAGGGUAACAGCGACCAGGGACGGGCGGGUCCCUUUGUAGGUCAGGGAUACUAGGGGUGCCCAGAGAAUCCACAGGGGGAGGGUCAGCUUGUAGCAAUCACAAAACAAGCUGAUGAGGAACCAAUACUGCAGGUUCUGAUAAAGUAUAGAGGCACGCCAUUGAUGGCCCACACUGGAGCCACUUACACUUGCGUAGGUCCAAAUUAUGCCUCACACCUCCCCCUGGCAGGAAAAUUCACCAAAACGUUGGGAUUCUCGGAGCACACGCAGUUAAUACCUAUGACAGCUCCAAGGAUGACAGUCUGUGAAUUCUUAUUUUAAGUUGUAUAUGUGAGCGAAUGAGUGAGUGAAUGAGCGAAUAAGUGAGUGAGUGAGUGAGUGAGUGAGAAAGAGUUGGCAUUGAGUUGAGUUAGAGGGGACAGAUGAAGUGAUUUGUGAAGAGUGAGACAGAGAAGAGGAAGAGUGUGUGGAUUGGCAACGAGAAGUGGCGAUGAGAUUGGAGAAGGCUUUCCGGUUAGAAUUUUCUUUGGGAGAAUGAUAUCUUUCGAUGGCCUUUUAAGAUUAAUAAUCUAGUUUUGGGGUGUGUCCAAAAACGAAUAAACCAGAAAGGAAAAGAAAGGAUUACUGAAAGUGAAAAUGGUUAUGGAGAUUUGUGAAAGCAAAGGAAGUAGAUAAAAAGAGGUAAAGAAAGUUAGAGAGAAGGAACGUAAGUAAGGAAAACCCGCCGGUGGGGGCUGGACAGAGAAACAACAGAGAGAAAGAGACUGAAUUUGCAUUGUACUGAAUAGAUUAUUUGUGUGCUUGGAUGUACUCUGUAUUUGGUCCCUGAAUGUAACCUAUGUCCACUGUUUUAGAGAAAACAUAGAACCACCACUGGGAUUGGUGAUUCUGUGGCUCUUGGAGACUCUGCAUCGCGUCGGAACACCAUGUGGUAUAGAUCAUUACAUCUUGGUACACGGAGCACUGGUGAGACAAAAGGUUGGAUCAGAGGGAGAAGGUGUCUGAAGAAGGGAGGGGAAUGUAAAGAAAGCAAAAAGGGCGGACGCGGACCGACACAGAGGUAAUAAAUCAGCGGAGAGGAGGCUGGGGGUCGGUUUAGCUCAGGAAGUAGAGGGUGUCUUGUAACCGAAUGGUUGCUGGUUCGAUCCCCAUCUCCUCCUAGCUGAGUGUUGAUGUGUCCCUGAGCAAGUUAAAUGGUGAUUACAGGAUUUAGGGAUAAUUAUCUAGACUCCAAAACAUGAGCAAUUAGCGUUAAAAAAUUGUCUGCACACCACACUCCAGAGGAGUCAAUGGGUUCAAUGGCGCCAGGGUAAAGUGACUCAUCAAAGGAGGAGCAGACCCAACCCAUGGACUCUGCGUGGAUAGGUGGAUGUUAUUUUGGUGCUUGGGCCUGACGAGGUCUAGGUGCCAAGAUAACAACACAAAUAAAAUAUUUCCUUCGAGAUUAUGAUAAGUAAUAGACAAUUUAUUAAAAGUGAUCUUAUAAUUUAGAAAAAACAAUCGGCAAUACUUAAAAAUUAGACCAAAUAAGUAUGAUAAAACGUUAUCCAAAUUUCUAAUUUAGGUUAUCCACAAUGACAAAUGUAAUUUAAAAUAAAUAAGUAAAAUAAAAUAAGAACGGGUGUGUGUGAACCUGUUCUCGUGUGUGUGUCAGGGCUGCCGAGGUAGGGGAGAAUCCUCUCCUACUCCGAGUGACAGAGUACACAAGGGGAUACCCAAGCACACUUCAGAUAAAACAAUAUGGUUAAUUACUAUAGAAACAAUGUAUCAAUUCAGUGUUGAAUAAACUAGCUAAGAUCAACAUAGAGGAUUUGGGUUUGGUAUAGUAGUGAAUCAGAAUAUGGAAAACACUAAAUGCAAGCAAUAGGUAGAAUAAAAGGUUUAAUUAGGUCGUCCAAUUUAAAUAGAUAGUGAAGGGCAAUCGGGUAGGAUUAUGAAGAGAAUUGUGAUUUUGAGUAGCGGUUAAGACAAAAGUGAGUCGCCCAAUAUUGAAAAUGCAAGUUUUAAUAUUGUGAUUUUUGUUUUCUUUCACAUCUCCCUAGUUAAGGACAAUAGGUGGAUUGACGCUACAUCUGCUGGGAAGGAGUCAUACAUGCUAUGUUGUCAAAUUGGAUUCGGAAGUAGUCGGUUUACCUUCAAAUGCCACUAAUACUGCUGCAACACUUUAAUAAUUUUAACUCUGAUAAAUCAUCUUUUGUUUUAUAGUCACCCUGAUGUGUAUUCAUUACGCACACAUAUGGCUGCAUAAGGCAGAUGCGGCUGAAGACUCUGUCUCCAUCCCUCCACUCUGCGAUCUAUACCACCAUAUAGGUGGGGAUUGAUCGUAUCCCAGGUACGGCAUCCUGCAGUAAGCCAGUAUGGAAGGCUGGUUAGCCAACGACGGGUAAGAUCCCACCUUGAAACCCGGGACAACCUAAUUCAGGCACAGUCACGAUUACUUGGCAGAGUCACUGUGAGCACUGGCUCACUUGAACAUGUAGUGACGAACUGCAAGGGAAAGCCGGCUGAUGAAAGGUGGAGGGGGAACAACAGGAGUCAGAUAUGUCAGCUCUGACAGCAGAGGUCGUCUUGAAACGGGGCAUGUCGCGUUUUAUUUCAUUUUAUUUUACCUUUGUGGUAUAGAAGGCCACUAACGCAUGUACGUUUUUUCGGUUUAGUGCAUGACUUUGGAACAGCGUGGUUUCAGGCGGCUGAUGGUAAACCCACCCAUAUUGGGCUUUGGAUUUGGACAUACUGGUUUCGAUUUCCCUUCCCAAAAGAUUGGUUUCAGUUUACUGAUGCUUAAGGUUAGACUUUCGACGUUGGGUGCACCAACGGCGUUAUUAGAUUUGUUUAUCAUUUACUGCGCAUGGUUUUGACCAUUGCGCAAGGGGGGAGGUAUUAGGAAAAUUUUUGAAAACAAGGUUUUUCUUCACCAUACUUGCAAACAAUGAUUGACAUCCAGCUAAAUGAGUGUGAAAUAUUUGAAAAAACAGUGUUCAACAGAUGGGUAGAAGCAGUCCCAUCAGAAGACCAAAGUUCUGACUAGAGAAGUCAUGGCAAGGUUUGGAAUUCCGUCACAAAUUAGCUCAGGCGACAGAGCAGCGUUUAGUCAGAAAACACUCAAACAAGUGAUUUAACAUCUGCAUGUCAAACAAAGAUUAGGCUGUGUCUACAUUCCUCAAACCACAAGGUAUGGUGGAGAGAGGAAUCGGACGCUUAAGACAAAGAUUAACAAAAUUAAAUUAGAGUACUAAAUUAAAGGACUAAUGCAUUACGACUGACACUAAUGAGUUAUCGCAUGAAAACUAACAGAAUGACGCAUCUAACCCCGCAUGAAAUGUUUACGGGUCGACCCAUGCCUUCACCUGUCAUUCGAGGGCCUCAUAAAGGACCUCCAUUAGAACAAUUGGAAACUGAAUUAAGACGUUAUAUGGGACAACUAACUGGCAUACACAGGCUUAUUUUUCAACAAGAGAAAGGCAGAGUUCCAGAGUUGGAGAAGGAGCCACCAAGGGGGGUGGAGCCAGGUGACCACGAGCCUAGGCGAGAAGGACCAUACAAAGUCACCAGCGCAACAUCAACAGCCAUCCAAGUGGAAGGAAGUGCCACGUGGUAUCAUCUCAACCACUGCACAAAAGCUGCUCAACCCAAAGCCAGAGACGACCGUGAGGAGGAGGAGCCAGACGCAGACACACCUGGGGCUGACCAGCUGCCCCAGGACCAGAUCCAGUCGAGCCAAGAGAUACAACAGCAUGAUGAUGCUGAAAACGGG
ensembl:lncRNA